rnacentral:rRNA from 1 species
GACGAACCGUGCGAACGUUGUUCGGAAUCACUGGGCUUAAAGGGCGCGUAGGCGGGCUCGCCAGUCUGUGGUGAAAGCCCCCAGCUUAACUGGGGAAGUGCCAUGGAUACUGCGAGUCUUGAGGAGGGUAGGGGCAUCUGGAACACUGGGUGGAGCGGUGAAAUGCGUUGAUAUCCAGUGGAACUCCGGUGGCGAAGGCGAGGUGCUGGACCCUUUCUGACGCUGAGGCGCGAAAGCCAGGGGAGCAAACGGG